AUACGUAGGGUGCGAGCGUUGUCCGGAAUUACUGGGCGUAAAGAGCUCGUAGGUGGUUUGUCGCGUCGUCUGUGAAAUUCCGGGGCUUAACUCCGGGCGUGCAGGCGAUACGGGCAUAACUUGAGUACUGUAGGGGAGACUGGAAUUCCUGGUGUAGCGGUGAAAUGCGCAGAUAUCAGGAGGAACACCGGUGGCGAAGGCGGGUCUCUGGGAAGUAACUGACUCUGAGGAGCGAAAGCAUGGGUAGCGAACAGGAUUAGAUACCCUGGUAGUCCAUGCCGUAAACGGUGGGCGCUAGGUGUAGGGGUCUUCCACGACUUCUGUGCCGUAGCUAACGCAUUAAGCGCCCCGCCUGGGGAGUACGGCCGCAAGGCUAAAACUCAAAUGAAUUGACGGGG
rnacentral:rRNA from 1 species